rnacentral:rRNA from 1 species
GAUGAACGCUGGCGGCGUGCUUAACACAUGCAAGUCGAACGGAAAGGCCGAAGCUUGCUUCGGUACUCGAGUGGCGAACGGGUGAGUAACACGUGGGUGAUCUGCCCUGUACUUCGGGAUAAGCUUGGGAAACUGGGUCUAAUACCGGAUAUGACAAUCUCUUGGAUGGGGUUGUGGAAAGCUUUUGCGGUAUGGGAUGAGCUCGCGGCCUAUCAGCUUGUUGGUGGGGUAAUGGCCUACCAAGGCGUCGACGGGUAGCCGGCCUGAGAGGGUGUACGGCCACAUUGGGACUGAGAUACGGCCCAGACUCCUACGGGAGGCAGCAGUGGGGAAUAUUGCACAAUGGGCGCAAGCCUGAUGCAGCGACGCCGCGUGGGGGAUGACGGCCUUCGGGUUGUAAACUCCUUUCGCAACCGACGAAGCUUUUUGUGACGGGAGGUUGAGAAGAAGCACCGGCUAACUACGU